rnacentral:sRNA from 1 species
UCCUUACCCGGCUUCUUGAGUACGACGA